CCUACGGGUGACAGCAGUGGGGAAUAUUGGUCAAUGGGCGCGAGCCUGAACCAGCCAAGUAGCGUGAAGGAUGACUGCCCUACGGGUUGUAAACUUCUUUUAUAAAGGAAUACAGUGAGGCACGUGUGCCUUUUUGUAUGUACUUUAUGAAUAAGGAUCGGCUAACUCCGUGCCAGCAGCCGCGGUACUACGGAGGAUCCGAGCGUUAUCCGGAUUUAUUGGGUUUAAAGGGAGCGUAGAUGGGUUGUUAAGUCAGUUGUGAAAGUUUGCGGCUCAACCGGAAAAUUGCAAUUGAUACUGGCAGCAUUGAGUACAGUUGAGGUAGGCGGAAUUCGAGGUGUAGGGGUGAAAUGCUUAGAUAUCACGAAGAACCCCGAUUGCGAAGGCAGCCUACUAAACUGCCACUGACAUUGAUGAUCGAAAGUGUGGGUAUCAAACAGGAUUAGAUACCCUAGUAGUC
rnacentral:rRNA from 1 species